rnacentral:lncRNA from 1 species
AGAAACGCAGAGCAGGGGCUUCCUGGCGGUCCCGUGGCUAAGACUCCGCGCCGGACACUCGGGCCCAGGGUUUGAUCCUGGUCCAGGAACCAGACCCCACAGGCUGCAACUAAGACCUGGGGCAGCCAAAAUAAAUAGAUAAUUUUUUUAAAUGUAAAGCUGUGAGCACAGCAUCUGGCCCAGUAUAGGCAGGUGCUGUUAUGCGUGAUAUUCUUAAGUGUUGUUAUUAAGGACAGGAAACCUGGUGUGCUGCGGUCCAUGGGGUCGCAAAGAGUCAGACACCACUGAGUGACUCCACAGAAACAACGCUGAGUGUCAUUAACUCACCAGCCACCGUUAUUUACCGCCUUAUGUGGAACGUGGGUUUUACUCUAGGCUGAAAUAAUUACAAGCGGGGUUUCCCAUCCAGGGGGAUUGUGCGGGAUGCUUCCAAGCACUUUGGGUACUUUGCUUUUCUUAUCCCUGUCACUACGAUUGCAUAACAGUAACUGGUGCUGUGAUUAUUAUUGCUGUUAGUUGCUCCUUCGGGAGACCCAGCACCCCUGUAAUCGACGCCUCCUGUCCGGGGCCAUCUUUUUGUUUUGUUUUGUUUUGUUUUUCAGUUUGGCUGUGCUGGGUCUUAGCUGUGGCAUUUGCGAUCUUUGUUGCAGCAUCUGGGAUCUGGUUCCUGGCCAGGAUCAAACCCAGGCCUCCUGCAUUUGAGAGUGCGGAGUCCUAGCCACUGAACCACCAGUGAAAUGCCCAGGGCGUCUUAGACCCAGCCGUUUUAAGUAGGCCUUGCUGGUCCCUCAUCCAGCCAGCGUUUCCUGGGGAACUGCUGUCUCUAAAAUGGCCCGCAUGGCCUCAGGCACCCUGGCUUUUCCAUGUGUGUCUUCCGCUCCUGCAGCGAGCCAUCUCCACUAACCCUCACUGGUGUGCUGUUCAAGUUACACGGAGGCCUUGGGGAGCCAGAAAGCCCCUGUCUCCCCACAUCCUGCCUCAGCCUUUCCCAAGCCACUUGAAGCCAAAAUAGGGAGUCAGGAGCCUGGGUCCAAGGCCUGGCGCCGCCCUCUACGGAUGCAUUGAAGUUUGGCAGACUCUUUUCCUGCAUCCAUCGGCGGCAUGGUGUCUUCCAGUUUGUAUGGUCAUUUGUGUCCAUUGAUUUUUCAGACGUUGAACCAGCCUUGCAUUCCUGCAGUAACGUUCACUCGGUCGUAAGCGUUAGUCCUUUCAUACGUUGCUGGGUUUGAGUUCCUAGUAUUCUGUUGGGGCACCGUGAGGCAUCUUGGCCUGGUUUUGGACGCUGCCUUUGUCUGGGUUGGAUUUCAGUCUAAUGCUGUCUUCAUAAAUUAAGUUGUGUUCCUCCAGUUCUCUUUUCUGGGAAAGAUUAUGUAGAAUUGGUGUUUUGUUUUCUCUUUUUCUUGAAAUGAUUUGUAAAAUUCAGUGAAAUCAUUUGAGUAUAAAGACAGCUCUUUUACGAUUUUUAAAAAUUACUAAUUCAGUGUCUUUAAUAGAUAUCUAUAAGGCAUUUUAGAUGAUCUACUGCUUCUUGGGCGACUCCGGGUAGUUUGUGACUUUCAAAGAAUUAGUCCAUUUCAAAUUGUCAGAUCUGUCUGAGUUGUUCCGAGUCCUCAUUAUCUUCUUAACGUCUCUUCUGUACCAAUAGCACCUCUUUCAUUACCGACAUUGGUAACCUGUGUCUUAUUUUUCUUUGCCAAUUUUUCUAAAAUUUAAUCUGUUUUAUUGAUCUUUUCAAAGAACUAGCUUUCAGUUUCAUUGAUUUUCCCUUUCCUUUUGCUAGUUCACCGAUUUCUUGCUUUUAUUAUUUUCUUCCUCCUGCAUGCUUUGAAUUUA